rnacentral:rRNA from 1 species
CGUAAGAAUAAGCACCGGCUAACUACGUGCCAGCAGCCGCGGUAAUACGUAGGGUGCAAGCGUUAAUCGGAAUUACUGGGCGUAAAGCGUGCGCAGGCGGUGUUGUAAGACAGAGGUGAAAUCCCCGGGCUCAACCUGGGAACUGCCUUUGUGACUGCAACGCUAGAGUACGGCAGAGGGGGAUGGAAUUCCGCGUGUAGCAGUGAAAUGCGUAGAUAUGCGGAGGAACACCGAUGGCGAAGGCAAUCCCCUGGGCCUGUACUGACGCUCAUGCACGAAAGCGUGGGGAGCAAACAGGAUUAGAUACCCUGGUAGUCCACGCCCUAAACGAUGUCAACUGGUUGUUGGGUCUUCACUGACUCAGUAACGAAGCUAACGCGUGAAGUUGACCGCCUGGGGAGUACAGCCGCAAGGUUAAAACUCAAAGGAAUUGACGGGGACCCGCACAAGCGGUGGAUGAUGUGGUUUAAUUCGAUGCAACGCGAAAAACCUUACCCACCUUUGACAUGGCAGAAAUCCUUUAGAGAUAGAGGAGUGCUCGAAAGAGAUCUGCCCACAGUGCUGCAU